GAUGAUUGGCUCUACCUAUCACGCAGCUUGUAUUUUGAUAAGGACACCAUAGUCCCUGAGACUUUCUUCAUCAGUCUUGUUGAAGAAGAGGAAUGGAUCACAAGAGGCUAUGAUGUAACACUUGUCCCCAGCAUCCCUGUAGAGAUAAAUAUGGGUAUUUGCUUGCAGACCAGUCACCCAUACCUAUGAACACUGCAGCUGGGAUACAUGAGACCCCAUUUGGAAGCCAUCAGUCAUCUUCUGUCUGCUGGCUCCAGCUACACCCACACACAUGAGAACGAAUCAGCACAACCAUCAGCAUUGUUUCUUGACUGGAAAUUAUUUAACUGUUUGAAAGAGCACCUUCAUUUUAAUUCCAAGAUUAUUCAAGUAUUUUGAUCUUUGAACAAAAAUUAGCCUACACUUGUGCUACCUCACAUUUGUGUCAGACCAUGGGUUAUGAUGUGUUACAGAAAAAUGUUAUAUUUUUUUUGCAAUUUUGUUAUCUGAUGAAAUCAUUGUAGUGCUUUUCAUCUUUGGGACAGUGAACAGGCACCACAGCCAGCCUGGGGAGAACAUCAAAGCUGACCAAACUGAAGCACAGGCAGCUUCAGCCUCCUUUGCUGAAACUUUUGACUUUCAGUAAGACCAACGCACUGUCUUUGUGACCAUAUGUUCUAUUAAAAAAGUAGCUUUAACACUAAAACCUUAGGAUAUUUGCAAACUCUUCCUUUCAAGCUAACUUCUCCUGCAUAAUAGACAUCACAUAUCUCGGUCCAUCUUUAUUCUCCACCCAACCUCUGCACGCCAGCAGACUCUACGUGCUCGCUGAGUUCAGAGCAGCAGCUAUAGGGAAAAAGGCGUGUUCACACAGGUGCCUUAAAUGAUGAAAGAUGAUACCAAACACAGUAGCUGGAUAUAGACAAGGAUUUUUAACAGACUCUUCUUCCCUUUCUCUCUCCUAUUUCUAGUUCCCCUGUAGCCUUUCCAAGGUUAGAAGGGGUAAGAAGAGCCAGAAUUGCCUGCAGUAUGCAAAAUGAGCUUGCACAGGGAAUUCACAGUAUUACAUUGCAAUGCUUUCUGUUUGGUCGUCUGGUACUUUCCUAGUACCUCCCAUUAUUCUCUUUGUUUUCUGACUACUGCUGAGUUUGGACGCUGAUGUUUUCAUAGAACCAUCUUUUACGAGCUUGGGAUCACUUCCUAAAUGGCAAUAUAUAUAUAUAUCAAUGUUAUCACACUAUAUAUAAAAUUGUACCUGCUUUUAUAUUCAUCAAAGUUAUAUUUCAUUUGCCAUUUUAUUGCCUGUCACUCAAUCUUAUGAUAUCCUUCUGCAACUCUUUGCAGCUUUCGUCUCUUCUCUGGUACUAAGACAGUUCUAAGCAAAAGUUACUAUUUCAGAAGUCUUCUCAAAAUACAGAAUGACCUUAAUGAGAUGAACACCUGCUACCAAUUUAUCAGUUUGUUUUAAUAAGCCAUUUACUGACACUUCAAUUUCAGCCAGAUCUUCCAAUUAAGACCCUGUCAAAAAAUGUUAACAGCAUAGAGAGUUUGCUGAGGAGCUCAACAGCAACCACAGAUAAAAACUUGAUGUCUAUUCUGGUCUAUUCUUCCAGAAGGGUUCCUUUAUACCUUGACCACUUAAGUCACCCAAAUCCUGUGACAACUGUCAGAGACCGUACUGUACUGAGAGCAAGGAGCAGAAGCAAAUUCAGCCACGUUAAAUCACAGGGAGACAGUUUUACCCCUGUACAGCGCACAGGCAGGUUUAGUGCUGGCAGUUCUAAUAUCCAGACUUCCUGUCAUGCGAUGAACAUUCUUUGAGAUUUCUCUGUUUUUAAUAAAAAAUGCUAUGAAAAUGUUUUGAAAUUAAAGCUUUGCCAGUUUGCCACCACAAGGCAAGUUUUCUGAUCUAUACAGUUCAGACAAGGGGCAGAGCAAGAGAUGACUCAGUUAUCAUCUGUAAAUGACUCCAUGGGGAAUAAGGAAAAAAAAAUUCCAUAUUAGGUCUCUAAGCUAGCUGAAAACUGAAAACAUGAAGUUGAAUACCAACAAAUCCAGACUAAACCUAAAGCCUUUCCUUUAUAAUAAUGUUUAUUGACUACUAGGAAGGAUUAAAAUAUAUAGACCUUAGUUAUUCAAGAGAUUUCUCAAGUCUUAAUUUGUUUGUAAGAGAUCCCAUCAUAGCUUACACAGAAUUAAUAAGCUUAUUCCUGAUGGAACUGGGCAAAGAUUUUUACCUUUGUUGUGCAGGUCCAGUUAUAUAAUCAUAUUUGGUUUCCUCAGCCUCAAAACAUGUGAUCUUAUAAUAAAGUAUGUCUAUUCAA